UGGUAGAAGUGUGACUGCUGCCCCAGAUCCCAAAGAUAUGAGAGUUAAGAGAGUUGCUGAUAUCUUAAGUGAGGUUCCAGCUUCAAUAACUGUAAGUAGGAGGAGAAGAGAGAAGAAUCAAGCCUUUUUCCAGCCUUCCUUUUGAGACAGCAUUUAUGCAUUUUCAGUUAAGUGGAAAAUAGCAGUGAAGCAAUGAAGGCCAUCCACUGAGAGAGGUA